UACGUAAGGUCCGAGCGUUGUCCGGAAUCAUUGGGCGUAAAGGGUACGUAGGCGGAUAGUCUAGUUAGAAGUGAAAUCCUAUAGCUCAACUAUAGUACGCUUUUCAAACUGCUCAUCUUGAGGUAUGGAAGGGAAAGUGGAAUUCCUAGUGUAGCGGUGAAAUGCGCAGAUAUUAGGAGGAAUACCGGUGGCGAAGGCGACUGUCUGGCCCGUUUCUGACGCUGAGGUAAGAGAGCGUGGGGAGC
rnacentral:rRNA from 1 species